CAUGGCUCUCCCUUGCUCAAGACGCCCCAGUGCUGCCCUUGUAUUGAAUAAAACCUAAAGUCCCUAUGAGGGUGUGGCUUCAAGGCUGUACACAACUUUGCCAGACUAUCUCUCUGAUAUCAUCUCCAAACACUUUCCCCUUUAUUCUUUGUGCUUUAACCAGACCAGGCCAAGUUCAUUACCACCUCAGGGCUUUUGCACAUGCUAAUCCCGUCACCUAGGGCAUGGUUCCCCAGAUCUUCACAGGGGUCAUUCUCUCCUUCAUUCUAGUGUGUAUCAAAUGCCUUCUCUGCAAAAAGGCCCUCCCCACCACCCCUUUACUCUCUUCCCCUCCUUUGCUUUAUUCUUCCUCAUAGCACUUAUUGCUUCGAGCUUUUUUAUACAUCUGUUUGUUGAUUGUCUGUCUCCCUCAGGCAGAAUGUAAAUUCUGUGAGGCAGGGACCUGUCUGUACCCUCAGCACCUAGUGACAGUGCCUAGCACCGUAGACGAAUUCAAUGCAUCAUUGUUGAAUAAAUGUUUGAAUGUGCCAGACGCACAGUGGGAGUUGAGCAGCUGUUUACUGAAUGAAUAAAUAUAACAGGUGCCGGGGAUACAACAGUGAACAGGACAGGCAGGUUUCCUGGAUGCCCAUGGCACUCGGCAGCAGAGGCAGCCAUUAAAUACAUAAUUGCAGUAAAAUAAAAAGGGUGUAUGACACAGGAAGUUCUGGAAAGCAGCAGGGACCGCUGCUCUAACCUGGUAUAGAGUUUAACACCUCAGAUGUUCGGCCUUAAACAGCUAACCUCUCCUGGCCCUGGGAGUGGCGCUGCUGGUACUGUCAGUCGUGUGGCUUCUGCAAUGAAGAAAGGGGAAUGUAUGCAAAAUGCCUGCCGCAUAGUACAUGCUCAGUAAGUUCCAGCUACUGUUGCUGUGGUAAGAUAUUGACCUCUAUUCGACUUCAUAGGACCCCUCGGUAUCUUUCCUACUCCCUUCCUACGUCCAGGAGAAUGGUUUAUGUUCUGAAUUUGGCUCUGCCAAGUUAGAAGCCAGAAGUCUCCCUCCUGGCUUUUCUUGAAGCUCAGAUGCCAGUACAUAAAGCUGUGCUUCCCCGGGCAACCUCAUGCUCUUUGAUUAGGUAGAGAGCAGUGUGGUGAUGCAGACACGCAUGGACUCCACCUUUGAACAAAGAUGGGGCUGGAGUGUCCAGCUUUGGGGUGCAGCAUUGACUGAGGUUCGGUAAACGUGAUCACGAUUAACAACAGCAAGGAUGUCUGAGGCUGUCAGGAAAUCCUUCACGGAGGGGAAAAAAGCUAGUGUUAUUACUUAAAGGAAGCGUUCUUAAUCUAAGCAGUAAGGGGCACCUGCGCAUUUCGUUUCUUAGUCAACAAUUAUUCAUUUAAAAAAAUCAUUUCUUGUAACAUCCUGGGAUGAGGAGUAUCCUGUUUUGGUUCUUCUAUUUUGCAAACAGAGAAAAAUGUCAGAAGUUAAUUAGCUCAUUCAAGCAUACGCUAGUUUUGUUAUUUAUCCAGUAAAGGCUUCCGUGAGGAAAGACUCCGCAGAAGUCUGUACCAAAUACCUACUCCUAGCGAAGCCCUGUGGAAGACACUGACGUGCACAAGCACCAAACACACCCCUGUGCUCAAGGGGAGGGAGGCUGCUCAGAUAAGCCACAAUGCAGGCAGAAAAGGUGAAUGUUUGUCUCCCGGUGCUGAGCUGGAGGUAUAGGAAUAAAGAAGAGCUCAAGGCAAGAAGGAUGGUGGGAGAAGACAUCACCUAGGAGGUAAACUUUAAGGCUGGGCUUCAAAAAAUGAAUAGGAGUUGGACAGUGGGUACAGAAUGGUCAGGGCAGAAUGUCAGGAAGAAGAUGAGGCAUGAGUAAGGGGCCUGGUGGCGAGGACAAACCACACUCAUUCAGGAGUCCUCCAGCAAUCAAGUCCUCUCUGUGCAGAUCAUUCUCGUGGAGGACAUGUGGAAGAUAAGGAUUUGGGGACAAUUGCUAGAUUAAGGAGUCUGGAUUUCAUCACACAGACAACUAGCAGUCGCUGCAUGGUUCUGAUGAGAUUUUAGGAUGUAAGUAGACUUUAAUAGGAGAGCAGGAAGGGCGGCAUCGUGGAGGCAGGAAUUCAAACCAGAAGCCAUCGCCACGAUUCUGACAAAAUCAGCGUUGCUGUGGGAUUAAAAGGAAGCAGUGGAUCAGGCAAG
ensembl:lncRNA